rnacentral:rRNA from 1 species
AGAGUUUGAUCCUGGCUCAGGAUGAACGCUGGCGGCGUGCCUAACACAUGCAAGUCGAGCGAAGCGAUUUUGAGGAAAUUUUCGGAUGGAAUCGAAAUUGACUUAGCGGCGGACGGGUGAGUAACACGUGGGUAAUCUGCCUUAUACAGGGGGAUAACAGUUAGAAAUGACUGCUAAUACCGCAUAAGCGCACGGGGACGCAUGUUUCUGUGUGAAAAACUCCGGUAGUAUAAGAUGAGCCCGCGUCUGAUUAGCUGGUUGGUGGGGUAACGGCCUACCAAGGCGACGAUCAGUAGCCGGCCUGAGAGGGUGAACGGCCACAUUGGGACUGAGACACGGUCCAAACUCCUACGGGAGGCAGCAGUGGGGAAUAUUGCACAAUGGGGGAAACCCUGAUGCAGCGACGCCGCGUGAGUGAAGAAGUAUUUCGGUAUGUAAAGCUCUAUCAGCAGGGAAGAAAAAAGACGGUACCUGACUAAGAAGCCCCGGCUAACUACGUG